UGUGCACACAGUGUAAUUACAGGAGAUAAAACAGUUAAAGUGAUGAUGUCAUACUUAUCACCUGAUGGAUGUCAAUAAUUGUCAUUGAUUAUGGCCAUGAAUACCUGAUCAAUCACCUCCUGACACCUCUGACUCAGCGUGAAUAGUAAAUCAAUAAGUGAACACAGUGACUUGAGAACUUCCAACUGUUGUUAAUCUGAUGAGAAUUCCUCCACAGAGCCUGAAAUAAUCCAGAUUUAAUGAAACUCACUGAUCCUCCGGCAGAAACACACACACAGCUUCAGCUGGAGGUAUUGAUCAGUAAUCAUUACUGUUUCUGAUCGUCACUCUGCUGUCCGACUCUGCCCUUCACUGACCUACUGAUCUUUGUCCUGAUCAAUAACGAAGAUCUUUAGUAAUUAAACUGUUUCAGUAAGUCCAGAUGUUGAUUCACAGAAAUAACAAUUAUUGAAGAGUUAUUAAUGAGCCUUAUUACAUCAUAAAUCUGAUAAUGAUUAUUUAUCAGUGAUUAUUAACCAAUAAAACUGAUCAGGACACAGCUCAUCAGUCAUGUGACUUAUUCAGAGUGUUUCUGUACUGUAUGUGGUACUGUAGGUGUGCUGUAUGUGGUACCGUAGGUUGUACUGUAGGUGUACUGUAGGUGUACUGUAGGUUGUACUGUAUGUGUACUGUAGGUUGUACUGUAGGUUGUACUGUAGGUGAUACUGUAGGUGAUACUGUAGGUGUACUGUAGGUGUACUGUAUGUUGUACUGUAGGUGGUACUGUAGGUGUACUGUAUGUUGUACUGUAGGUGAUACUGUAUGCUGUACUGUAUGUUGUACUGUAUGUUGUACUGUAGGUGUACUGUAUGUUGUACUGUAGGUGGUACUGUAGGUGGUAGUGUAGGUUGUACUGUAGGUGUACUGUAUGUUGUACUGUAUGUUGUACUGUAUGUUGUACUGUAGGUGUACUGUAUGUUGUACUGUAGGUGGUACUGUAGGUUGUAGUGUAGGUUGUACUGUAGGUGUACUGUAUGCUGUACUGUAUGUUGUACUGUAUGUUGUACUGUAGGUGUACUGUAUGUUGUACUGUAGGUGGUACUGUAGGUUGUACUGUAGGUAGUACUGUAGGUGUACUGUAUGUUGUACUGUAGGUGAUACUGUAUGUUGUAGUGUAGGUUGUACUGUAGGUAGUACUGUAGGUGUACUGUAUGUUGUACUGUAUGUUGUACUGUAUGUUGUA